CGGACGGGUGAGUAAUGUCUGGGAAACGGCCCGAUGGAGGGGGAUAACUACUGGAAACGGUAGCUAAUACCGCAUAACGUCGCAAGACCAAAGAGGGGGACCUUAGGGCCUCUUGCCAUCGGAUGUGCCCAGAUGGGAUUAGCUAGUAGGUGGGGUAACGGCUCACCUAGGCGACGAUCCCUAGCUGGUCUGAGAGGAUGACCAGCCACACUGGAACUGAGACACGGUCCAG
rnacentral:rRNA from 1 species